rnacentral:rRNA from 1 species
AUUGAACGCUGGCGGCAUGCCUUACACAUGCAAGUCGAACGGUAACAGGUCUUCGGAUGCUGACGAGUGGCGAACGGGUGAGUAAUACAUCGGAACGUGCCUAGUAGUGGGGGAUAACUACUCGAAAGAGUGGCUAAUACCGCAUGAGAUCUACGGAUGAAAGCAGGGGAUCGCAAGACCUUGUGCUACUAGAGCGGCCGAUGGCAGAUUAGGUAGUUGGUGGGAUAAAAGCUUACCAAGCCGACGAUCUGUAGCUGGUCUGAGGGGACGAUCAGCCAAACUGGGACUGGGACACGGCCCAGACUCCUACGGGAGGCAGCAGUGGGGAAUUUUGGACAAUGGGCGCAAGCCUGAUCCAGAAAUGCCGCGUGCAGGAUGAAGGCCUUCGGGUUGUAAACUGCUUUUGUACGGAACGAAAAGCCCUGGGUUAAUACCCUGGGGUCAUGACGGUACCGUAAGAAUAAGCACCGGCUAACUACGUGCCAGCAGCCGCCGUAA